rnacentral:rRNA from 1 species
UACAGAGGGUGCGAGCGUUAAUCGGAAUUACUGGGCGUAAAGCGCUCGCAGGUGGCGACGUAAGUCGGGUGUGAAAGCCCCGGGCUCAACCUGGGAAUUGCAUUCGAGACUGCAUUGCUGGAGUACGGAAGAGGAGGGCGGAAUUCCCGGUGUAGCGGUGAAAUGCGUAGAUAUCGGGAGGAACAUCAGUGGCGAAGGCGGCCCUCUGGUCUAGUACUGACACUCAAGUGCGAAAGCGUGGGGAGCGAACAGG